UACGAAGGGGGCUAGCGUUGCUCGGAAUCACUGGGCGUAAAGCGCACGUAGGCGGCUUUUUAAGUCAGGGGUGAAAUCCUGGAGCUCAACUCCAGAACUGCCUUUGAUACUGAGAAGCUUGAGUCCGGGAGAGGUGAGUGGAACUACGAGUGUAGAGGUGAAAUUCGUAGAUAUUCGCAAGAACACCAGUGGCGAAGGCGGCUCACUGGCCCGGUUCUGACGCUGAGGUGCGAAAGCGUGGGGAGCAAACAGG
rnacentral:rRNA from 1 species